AAUGGGCGAAAGCCUGACGGAGCAAUACCGCGUGAGGGAGGAAGGCUCUUGGGUUGUAAACCUCUUUUCUCAAGGAAGAACACAAUGACGGUACUUGAGGAAUAAGCAUCGGCUAACUCCGUGCCAGCAGCCGCGGUAAUACGGAGGAUGCAAGCGUUAUCCGGAAUGAUUGGGCGUAAAGCGUCCGCAGGUGGCUGUGUAAGUCUGCUGUUAAAUAGUGAGGCUCAACCUCAUAAAGGCAGUGGAAACUACACGGCUAGAGUGCGUUCGGGGCAGAGGGAAUUCCUGGUGUAGCGGUGAAAUGCGUAGAGAUCAGGAAGAACACCGGUGGCGAAAGCGCUCUGCUAGGCCGCAACUGACACUGAGGGACGAAAGCUAGGGGAGCGAAUGGGAUUAGAUACCCC
rnacentral:rRNA from 1 species